UACGUGAGGGGCGAACGUUGUUCGGUGUCACUGGGCUUAAAGGGUGCGUAGGUGGUUGCGUAAGUAAGGUGUGAAAUCCCUCGGCUUACCCGGGGAAUUGCAUUUUAUACUGCGUGGCUUGAGGACUAAAGGGGAAAAGGGAACUCCAGGUGUAGCGGUGAAAUGCGCAGAUAUCUGGGGGAAGGCCGGCGGCGAAGGCGCUUUUCUGGUUAGUACCUGACACUGAGGCACGAAAGCGUGGGGAGCAAACAGG
rnacentral:rRNA from 1 species